rnacentral:rRNA from 1 species
AUACGUAGGUGGCAAGCGUUGUCCGGAAUUACUGGGUGUAAAGGGAGCGUAGGCGGGAAGACAAGUUGAAUGUUUAAACUAUCGGCUUAACCGGUAGUCGCGUUCAAAACUGUUUUUCUUGAGUGAAGUAGAGGUAGGCGGAAUUCCUAGUGUAGCGGUGAAAUGCGUAGAUAUUAGGAGGAACACCAGUGGCGAAGGCGGCCUACUGGGCUUUAACUGACGCUGAUGCUCGAAAGCGUGGGUAGCAAACAGGAUUAGAUACCCUGGUAGUCCACGCUGUAAACGAUGAUUACUAGGUGUGGGGGGACUGACCCCUUCCGUGCCGCAGCUAACGCAAUAAGUAAUCCACCUGGGGAGUACGGCCGCAAGGUUGAAACUCAAAUGAAUUGACGGGG